CUUUCCUUCCUGUCUCUCUUCCUUUUCAGAUCUGCUGAAUUUCUCUCCCUCUCCUCAUCAGUACAGACCUCUUGGGACAUCUUCAGGAUUGACUGGCUGCAUAGAGGCCAAGAGUCCUCAAGUAUUCUUCUGAGAAGCCAAGGCUAGCCACUAAUCUCAAUACAAAACUGCGCCAUGAGUUCUCCUUCAUUUCUUCUUAUGCCAAGAUUAAAAGGCCUGGAAAUGUGCAAAAGAUGACUUCCAGUCAAUAAUUGAUGGCUGCCUUAUAGAGCAAGAUUGUUAUUGAGAGUAGAGAUAACCAUGGCUGAAGAUGUUGAAGGAGGAGCAACCAAUAGCAGUGCCAACAGGACCUUAUUUAAGAAGAAAGGAGACAUACAAAAGCUUUUAAAUAAAUAAAUGUGUAAAUCAAACAACAGAACCACAGAUGCAGAUCCACCCACUGAAAUAAAUGAGCUGGUAAAUGGAGCAG